rnacentral:rRNA from 1 species
AUUGAACGCUGGCGGCAUGCCUUACACAUGCAAGUCGAACGGUAACAGAUCUUCGGAUGCUGACGAGUGGCGAACGGGUGAGUAAUACAUCGGAACGUGCCUAGUAGUGGGGGAUAACUACGCGAAAGAGUGGCUAAUACCGCAUGAGAUCUACGGAUGAAAGCAGGGGAUCGCAAGACCUUGUGCUACUAGAGCGGCCGAUGGCAGAUUAGGUAGUUGGUGGGAUAAAAGCUUACCAAGCCGACGAUCUGUAGCUGGUCUGAGAGGACGAUCAGCCACACUGGGACUGAGACACGGCCCAGACUCCUACGGGAGGCAGCAGUGGGGAAUUUCGGACAAUGGGCGCAAGCCUGAUCCAGCAAUGCCGCGUGCAGGAUGAGGGCCUUCGGGUUGUAAACUGCUUUUGUACGGAACGAAAAGCCCUGGGUUAAUACCCUGGGGUCAUGACGGUACCGUAAGAAUAAGCACCGGCUAACUACGUGCCAGCCGCCGCGGUAAAAC